GAUGUAUCCAUCUAUAAAUAAACUGGUAAUGAACAUCUCAACCAUCCUUCCCAUUAAUGUCCAAUCUUUUUCUAACUUAUUUUCUUUCUAACUAUACAUUUGGUUUUGUCAUUGGCAAGUAAGUCUCGUCUUUUUUCUUUUUCUUCUUUUGGCUCACCAUGCGCAAGCAAUCCCAAUCACCCUGUACUUUCUGAGUUCCUAAAAAUUAAACUUAAAUUUUGCCACAUGAGUUAAUUGCCAAUUGUCUAAGCCUCUAUAUCAUCAUCACUUACAAGAAUAUGAUCUAGAUAGGAAAUACAUUCUCAAGCUUCACCCAUCACAUUUCUCUAUGGAUUUUGCUAAUGUAGAUCUUUCAAUCCUAAUUUGGUAUCCUAUUUGUAACUAUCAAAUAUUAUGCUAUUUUACAUAUUCAUUUUGUAUUGGCAAAUGCAAUACAUCUUUUCCUAAUAAAUAUUUGAAAUGUAAAAGCUAGAGACUGUAAAGUAUUUGCUUCCUUACCAUGUAUAUUCUUUGUAAUAAUUGGUGUCAUGCCUAACAAAACCUGUAGGAAGCAAACUCCAAUUACACUCAUUAGUAAUGAGUGAAUUAUUAUUAUUAUUAUAUUAUCAUACUAACUCAGGUUUUCACAUAUAUGCAAUUGGGGAUGAUGAUGGGGAUGAUGAUGAUGAUGAGGAUGAGGAUGAACGUUAUAAAUUUUAUGAAAUUUUAUAAGGUGAUAACAAUUUAGGUCUCUAGAAGAUGACGCUCAUGUCUUACUUAUACUUUAACUGGCUACUAAAUAGUGAAGAUUUUCUUAGCUUGAAUUUCAGUUGAGGCUACUGCUACUGGAUGUGCAUAAGCAUUUCAGUCAAUAUGACUAUUUUUUUUUUAGUUGAAAAUCCAUGUAUGUUGUAUUGAAUUUGUAAAUGGUUUUGGUUAUAAUGAUUUGGAAAUGUAUUCAAGUGACAUAUCCUUGUAUCUUGUUUUAUAAUGACGGUAGAAUAUGGUCUUUUCUUUUCUUUUUUAAAGGGGUUUUAGUUUGUACCAGUUAUAAUGAUUUCUACAGGAUGACGUUCAAUUGAGCCUGCUGUUAUUGGAUGGUAUACAAGUUAUACUUUCAGUUAACUUUGCACAA